rnacentral:tRNA from 1 species
AUAGCUCAAUUGGUAGAGAAUCUGCCUGCAAUGCAGGAGACCCAGGUUCAAUUCCUGUGU